GUCUAUGGCCAUACCACCCUGAAUGUGCCCGAUCUCGUCUGAUCUCGGAAGCUAAGCAAGGUCGGGCCUGGUUAGUACUUGGAUGGGAGACAUAGCAUGUCUUGAGAUAAUUUAUC
rnacentral:rRNA from 1 species